rnacentral:antisense_RNA from 12 species
AAUAACUAAAAAUAGUAUUGGGGUUAAGGGUCAUAUUUGUUAUUUUUCUUACAUCUCCACCACCCGGAGCCCAGGUAUCAUAUAUACCUCCAAAAUAGAGAGCUUUUAGCACGAGAAGAAAAGAACCAGCACCGAGUAAGAUGAGAUGAAUACCCAAAAUGGUAGUCAUUUUAUUUCUAUCCUUCCA